CAUUUUAGAGCAUAACAAUAUCCUACUAUAUUAUUUGGAAAGUACAUAACCUUACUUUUUGUAAUUAAUUACAUGCCAUUAGAAAAAUUUAAUCAAAAACAAAAUCUUUUAAUGACAUCAUUAAGAUUAUCAAAAUUAUUUAACGACAAUAUUCAUCUCUUAAUUAUAGGGCUUAUUGGAUUUAAAGACGGGUCAUCAAAAAUUUCCUAAACUAAAGCAAAAUAUACUGAAUAUUCAAAUAUCUAUCUGUUACCAAAUUAUAAACAAAUAAGUUCGUAAAACGAUUUAAUAUUUUAUAUACGAAAUCAAUUAAAUCUUAAUCACAUAAAAAUUAGCACAAAAAAAAAUAUGGUACAUUUGGGUCUAUAGUAUUUUUGCAAGACUUUUUUGGUGGAUUUUGGUAAAAGUGCAUUCGGCCCCUAUUAAAUAAAUAUGGUACACUCCUAAGUUAUUAGCUAAAAUGUUUAGAUUAUAAUUCAAAGUCAUAUCAUAAAUAAAAUUAAUAUUAAUAAAAUAAAUGACUUUUUGGCAAGACGAAUUUUUGAAUCAACAUUAAUAAAAAGUAAAAUAUAAUUAAUCCACUGUUUCAAUACGGGUUAAAUCUUUAAUUUAUUAUUUUUAAUAACAAUUAAUAUAUAUAAAUACUUAAUAACAA
rnacentral:sRNA from 1 species